AUGCAGCGCAAGUGGAAAGUUCCAACCACCAACAAAUACUACGACUCCUUGGCCGAUGUUGCAGGCAGCGUCAUCCACCCAUUCUACAACGGCAUGAAGAAGAAGAUGGAGAAGAAGGAAGACCACAAACUGUGGGGGAACAGCCCGCUGCCAGACAACCUCAUCGAGUACGCAGGAAUAGAUGCGUACGCCAUGUACAAGUCAUGGAAGACAAUCGACAACAUCGUGACAGGUUGGGAUAUUUCAAAAGAGCAGGAGGCUGACCCCUACUACCACUGCAACUUCGCGGGAUGA
rnacentral:rRNA from 1 species